rnacentral:tRNA from 1 species
UGUCUUGUAGUAUAUUACCCAUGAUUACUGUAAACUGCAACUUUACCAAAGCCUAACAGUGCCAAGACAU